GCCGGCAGGUGGAGCAUCUCCUGAGCUGAGGGGGCCCAGUCCUUCCCUCCUUCAGGUGCCCAACUGUUCCUGAAACCUGCCCAGAGAAUAGCACCCAGUGGACUUCCAGCAGUGUGUUCUGCAGGACCUGACCAGCGACAGAGAGCACCUCAGUGGAAACUGUCAAACUGGACAAUCUAAAGGAGGUCAACACAAAUAUUUAACUCCAGUAUAACUUCAUCUUCUACUUCUGGUGAUCUGCAGCUGACGGUGGUUCGAGUCGGCUCCCCAGACUCCUUUCCCUGGGUGUGGUUUGCACAGAAGUAGCAGCUCACAACAUUCCUGUCUUUGAUGCAGUGUGACCACUGAGUGAACUAAGAGACUGAUCAUUAGGAGCAGCAUAUAUUGCAGGUCGCAGAUCAACAAAAGUGCACAUGUACAUCUGAAGAACAGCCCAGAGUAGGAAAGGAGACUGUCUAUGUCUGAUUGGUUGUACUGGUGUUCUUAUAUAUUUCAUACAUGGCAAACAAGGCCUCUUUGUUGGGGAGGACAUGUUGGCUCUGUUCCUGUUCCACAGUCCAGACCUUUAUAUAAGGUUUUUGAGUGAAGCUCUAUGGAUAGACUUCACCCUAUACCCAGCAGAAGCUACAAGAGAAGUUUUGAAUGCCUCAGGAAAAAGGAACACCCUGUGAAAUACCUGCAGCAUGAGAACACAGGGAGAAGAAUGAAUCCCUUGUAAAGACAUGACAGAAACGCACCAUUUAGCAGGAGUAAAUUUGCUAAAUCCUUUGCCCAUAUACCACUUUCAUUUCCUGAUGGUGGUAGAGUGGUGUUUUAUGGGUUUGUUUCUUGACUCUUCUCCUGAAUGACAGAUACCUUGGACA